rnacentral:rRNA from 1 species
AGGGGCCAAGUGUUUUCCCGGUUUUUUUUGGGUUUUAAAGGGGGGGGUAGGCGGCCUAUUAAGUUCAGUUUUUAAAAUCCCCAGUGCUUUAACGCUUGGUACUGCGUUUGGAUACUAUUAGGCUUGAGUUAAGAAGAGGUAGGCAGAAUUUAUGGGUGUAGUAGUGAAAUGCUUAGAUAUCAUAAGGAAUACCAAUAGCGUAGGCAGCUUACUGGUCUUUAACUGACGCUGAGGCACGAAAGCGUGGGGAGCAAACAGGAUUAGAUACCCUGGUAGUCCACGCCGUAAACGAUGAUCACUCGAUAUACAUGAAACCUCGUGUGUGUCUAAGCGAAAGCGUUAAGUGAUCCACCUGGGGAGUAUACUCGCAAGGGUGAAACUCAAAGGAAUUGACGGGGGUCCGCACAAGCGGUGGAGUAUGUGGUUUAAUUCGAUAAUACGCGAGGAACCUUACCUGGGCUAGAAUGUAUUUUGACACCUU